GUGCUUGCUUUGGCAGCACAUUGUACUAAAAAUUGGAACAAUACAGAGAUCAGCAUGGCCCCUGUGCAAGGAUGACAUGCAAAUUUGUGAAGCAUUCCAUAUUUUC
ensembl:snRNA U6 U6 spliceosomal RNA